AAUUCAUGGUUGAGGGCAGUCACGUUCAUACUCCUUAAAACGUUCCCAGGCUUCAUAGAAAGGUUCAGUCGGUCCUUACUGAAAACUUGAGAUCUUGGUUCUCAGCAAGU
rfam:Eutrema salsugineum unplaced genomic scaffold scaffold_3, whole genome shotgun sequence.